ensembl:lncRNA
ACACACAAGUCCAUGUCUAUUUUGAAGGCCUCUGGGGAAUAGAGUUACCUUCCACAUGCUUGCUUCUCCGGCCAAACAAUGCAUGUCUUAUAUGAGACGAGCUCUGUUACAUGAAGAGAAGUAAGUUAUCUUCUCUGUCCGAAGGUACAUGAGGGGAAAUGAUCCGGAAGAGCAGUAAGACCUGAAAUAUGCGUGCCAUGCCCUACUGGAUUCAGUAAAAUGAAUAGGAAGAAGAAGGAGCCCAUUCCAACGGCAUUCUUCCACUUUGCCCAUGAAGCACUGCAGUAAGGGCUUCUUGACAGCUACACAUCCUUUCAGACUCAU